GGCCUGCAUUCAUUAUAAGGACUUUGGAUUUUACUUCGAAUGAGAUGAAGCUUCUGGAAGGUUUGGGGGAAGAGUUCGGACGUGACUUAGCUUUUAUGGACCCGUUUCUAAGGGCCUGGCAGAGAACACAGUAGGUCAAGGACAGCGUCAGGGGCAGCGGAAAGGCUAUCAUUGUGCAGGGUGACUUCACGAGGCAGCACUUCCUUUUAAUAUCGAAGAGUUGACGGGAUCUAUUUAGAGCCGAGUUAUGCAGCACACUCAUCUUUUAGCGGCCGCUUGCUUUCCAACGCUCCGCUGACGUCACCGGCUCGCCUCGGCGCAACAGGAAUGCACACAAACAAACCCGACUGGACGCCCAGCAUCGCAAAGCCGCAAAUCGGAGCUUGAGGUGAAGCCUCCGAGGGUUGCUGGGAAUGACAGCUGAGUGAUGGAGCUCGGCUCUUAAAAGUAAUACAUUUGGAUGAAGAAUCACAAAGAAAGAUCGUGUCCCGCCUGCUAGGAUGGACACAGCUGAGCAAAGCAGGCAGGCACAAGACAGGAGCCGUGCUGACAGAACUGCGAGGAAGUGGAAACGUGGGGUUGGCGGAAGCAGACAGCGUGCAGAAGCUGUAGGACACGGUGUGGAGUUUCCCAAAACUUUAAAGUAGAAUUACCAUGUGAGCCGGCACCCCACGUCUGGAUCGUUACUCAACAUAACUGAAAACAGGAUUUUUAAGAGAUUUGCACCCAUCUCAGUGUUAAAAGAGCCAAGAGGUUGACACACCCUAAAUAAACAAAAUGUAGCAUA